GCCACUGUGGCCUAGUGGGCAAGGUUACAGUCUUGGGAACUUGUAGAUUUGUAGGUUCAAGCCCAGCUAGGAACA
rnacentral:tRNA from 1 species